AGGUGUAGGUAUGUAUUAUCACCGGCUUCGAUACGUUUAUCGUAACCUCGAAGAAAUGUUAGAAAUAUACUUAUUAAUCGCGUUAGGAUUAAAUGGUCAAAGUACGAGUUAGAUUUUUAAAGGAUCGAUCGAUUCCUCGGCGUUCCACUUCUUGACGACGAAGUGACACGUGUUGCAUUAGUUUUGCCGAGCCCCGAUUGGAAGAAUCGUACGUUGUGAACGUCAACGAAAAAAAAAGAAAAAAAAAAUGAUAACAAAGAAACUAUUUCUCUAGCAUACAGGAAAACGAUUGAUUAAUAGCACGGUACCUCUUUCCUUAAUCGUUUAAAUCGAAUAAAAUGUACGACGUGAAGAAAUUGUACUAACCGGAAUAACGAUGAUCGACGAACGAUGCCGCCGAAACGCAACCGAACCGUCGCGUGGCGUUCCGGACUAUCCCGAACGGCCGACUAAGCGUUCUCAUCGAAACGAAACUUUCCAUUGGGAUAUGUGUGAGCUCGAUAUCUUGUUAGAGCGGUGGCCUCUACAAGUCCGACAGGUGUGAACCGAAGGAACGCCCCCAGCUAACGGGGUCCGAUGAUCGUAUGUAUUGUACGUUGUCCGUCGAUUCGUUUAGAAGUUAGAAGUGAAUGUACCUUUUCUUUUUCUCUAUCAUGUUAAUCAUUAAUAAUAUUAUCACAUUAGAAUCUCCUUUACUAUUCCUUUUUUCUAACUCGUAUCCAAUCGUUUUCUAUUUUCAUAUUUAUUAAAUAAUUCAUCCCGUUCGAAUCGAAAUUAUUUCAUUUCUUUAUUAAUUCUCACUUAAAAAAAAUGUUUGGAUUUCAAAUGAAACCCGAAAUGUUUUGCAUAACUUGCAAGGAUUUGCAUAAUAUAUUCUAUCUUCUUUUUUUUUCCUUCGUGUAAUUAAAUGUGUACAAGAUUUAUGACGAGUUUGACAGUUAAUGGACAUAAUAUAUACUUUUAAGAUUCUUCCAAAGGUAAUAAAUUCGAUUUUAAAAUCGAAAGAAAUCUAUAUAUUACUUGUUUAUGGAACAUCAAUGAUAUUGUUUCUUAAGACUUCUUUCUUUUCUUUUUUUUUCUAACGGUGUUCCAAACGUUUAGAAACUACGUAAUAUGAUUAUAGACUAUGCCGUAGUUAUCACAUCGUUCGUAUCAUAUCAUAACGAUAAUUAAAGUAAUAAUAAAUAAUCGUGAUGAUGACAAUGUAGAAAUUCUUCCUUCUUGUAUAUUUUUUCCUUCGUAAAAUAAUUAAUCGCAAAUUCGAAUAGUAUUAAAUUUCUGUUAUGAUUUUCUUUUCUUUUUGUUUUUAACGGAACACUGCGACGUGCGAUUGAAAAUUAUAUUUUCGUCGAAAUAUUAUAUAAUCGUUUGUAACAUUUCAGUAACGUAGAAAAAAGGAAAACUUUGUUAUUGAAUUUGAAUAAAUCGACUAACGUACGUUGCUCCUUGUCCUUCCUUUCCUUGUUAUAUUUCUCAUCGUCCUCGACGUACACCUACGACGCGACGUCUUUUUCAUUCGAGUCAUGCCGGAAUUUUCAAGGACGCGUGCUCACCGCGAUGACUAAUCUCGUCGACGAACAACUUUGAUAUCGAUUCGAUUGAUACGAUAUGAUGAAGUUUUUCAUUAUUUUUUUCUCUUGUUCUUUUUCUCUUUCUUUCUCUUUCUAUAGAAACGAUGCACGUUCUAUAUUAUUUCUUAGAACGAUCCUUUGAAAUUCUUUUUUUUCGAUCAUUGUCAUCGCGAUACGACACGAUCGAUUAUCUUCGUCGGUAAAAUAGGAAUCCUUUGUAAUAGAUCGUCCUUCAACACUUUUCGCUCGAUCUUAAGAUCGAACAUAUAUAUUCUGUCCAUUUAUUUACGUUCACUUCAAACUCAUGUGAUUAAUGAAUGUAAUGUAUGAUAAUUGUGAUGAAAUUUAUUUAACACUGAGGCAAAUAACAUAGUAUCGAACACUUUUUUACGAGCUUUUUUAUUAACGUCAAAGGCAAAUGAUCUCGGUAUGACUUCGAAGAAUCAACUGAAGAGAACGGGUUAUCUGUAUGAUGAUAAAAAAUCGAUAGCAUCUCAAAUUUGUAUAUGUAUAUAUCCAUGUGAUACGUGUAAGUAUAUACAUACGUACACAAAUACGAUUCCUUUUGAAGUAGUCCUGUGAAUAAUUUUUUCAAGUAGCAAAUCAUAAAAUCUUGUAUGAAAACGAACAAUUAAAUUUAUAACAAGCACCCAAUCUAACGUCUUUAUUCGUCGAGUUAUACAUUUAUGAGUAUUAUGUGUACGUGUGUUGUUAUGUAUGUGUAUGUGUGUGUAUUUAUACGUUUGCGUGAUAGAGUACUGCUCUUUAUAUUGAAUAUGUUUUGAUUAUAGACAAAUAUAAUGUAAAAUUUAUCGUAAUAACGCCUCUAACAUUCGUGCUUUCACAAUAUACGUUUAUUGAAAUGUUUCAUUUGAUUCAUUUUAUAUGUCAAUUUUAUCUUAGAGUAAUAGCACCUUUACUUCGGAAGAUAGAAAAACAAAUAAACGA